AUUGAACGCUGGCGGCAGGCUUAACACAUGCAAGUCGAGCGAGCGGCGGACGGGUGAGUAAUGUCUGGGAAACUGCCUGAUGGAGGGGGAUAACUACUGGAAACGGUAGCUAAUACCGCAUACCAUCAGAUGUGCCCAGAUGGGAUUAGUCAGUAGGUGGGGUAAGGGCUCACCUAGGCGACGAUCCCUAGCUGGUCUGAGAGGGUGACCGGCCACACUGGAACUGAGACACGGUCCAGACUCCUACGGGAGGCAGCAGUAGGGAAUAUUGCGCAAUGGGCGCAAGCCUGAUGCAGCCAUGCCGCGUGUGUGAAGAAGGCCUUCGGAUUGUAAAGCACUGUCAGCGAGGAAGCGUUACUCACAGAGAAAGCACCGGCUAACUCCGUGCCAGCAGCCGCGGUAAUUC
rnacentral:rRNA from 1 species